GUUUAAGUUCUACCACUGUAAAGAUGGAAGAUCCGCGAUUCGGAAUGUCAGAACUGUGUGGUUUAACAGACAGCCAGGCAGCAGAUGCGCUCGAAGCUUUUGUAUAAUCAUCCUGCGGUGAGGGUGAAUCCACCACAUCAUGUACACUAGAAGGUGCCUGGUUAGCAGAGCCCAUGGACAGAACAAGUGACACCUGAGGUGUCCCAUACAACACGCCAGAUUCUCCACUACCACUGUACCCUGAGACAGCAGUCUGAAGGUGACCCAUUGCAGCCAGAAGCGCCUCAAGCUGUUCGCGGACCACAGCCAACUUCUCGUGCAUCCACAUACAGGAUUCACACACCCUAAUCAUCCUAGUAAGACUAACUGAGAAGCAAACUAUACAGCAGAUAGAAUCCCAGAUAUACAACUUGUUACCCUCCUGAUGUGUCACAAAUGGGUAUUGAUGCAUUAAUUAGCUAGCUGUUCAGCGAGCAAUUCUGUGCUACAGGCUAAAGGAUUUUUUUUCCUACAAAAAUGUGAAAUUAAACCUUUUAAAUAGAGCAGCAUAUGCUAAAUUUAGUAAAUGUACUACAAGGAAAAGAAGGAAAUUUAUGAAGACUUAACUUAUUGCUCUUUAAGAUGACUGGUAUGUUGUAUUUAUAAUAAAUGAAAAAGGAAAUGACAUGACAA